rnacentral:rRNA from 1 species
GACGAACGCUGGCGGCGUGCCUAAUACAUGCAAGUAGAACGCACAGUUUAUACCGUAGCUUGCUACACCAUAAACUGUGAGUUGCGAACGGGUGUGUAACGCGUAGGUAACCUGCCUGGUAGCGGGGGAUAACUACUGGAAACGAUAGCUAAUACCGCAUAAUAUUGAUUAUUGCAUGAUAAUUGAUUGAAAGAUGCUAUUGCAUCACUACCAGAUGGACCUGCGUUGUAUUAGCUAGUAGGUGAGGUAACGGCUCACCUAGGCGACGAUACAUAGCCGAACUGAGAGGGUGAUCGGCCACACUGGGAAUGAGACACGGCCCAGACUCCUACGGGAGGCAGCAGUAGGGAAUCUUCGGCAAUGGACGAAAGUCUGACCGAGCAAAGCCGCGUGAGUGAAGAAGGUUUUCGGAUCGUAAAGCUCUGUUGUAAGAGAAGAACGGGUGUGAGAGUGGAAAGUUCACACUGUGACGGUAUCUUACCAGAAAGGGACGGCUAACUACGUG